AGCAGGAGAAGCUUCUGUCCACAGACCACAAUCCACGGCCUUGAGCUUCCUCCACCCUACCUGCAACAAUAUUGUCUCCUCCGCCCCUACCGCCACCGUACGCGCGCCGCGUCGUCGCGUUGCAUGCUCUCUUCCACCCAAUGGCCCCUGGGACUAUCCCUCCGGCUCAAUGUCGUCCUUGGGAGCCGUCGUGGAAACGUUACGCUGCCGUGUCGGCAGGAGCGCGGCGCGCUCAGGCUGUUCGGCGAAAUGCCGACCCGGUUGACGUUUCUUGGCCAGCGACCGCGCCCAUGGCCCCUUAAUCCGGUCGGGCAGGACAGCUUGUAGAUCAAGCUGAGGGCACGUUUUUCCCGUGUACGUGUAUGUGCUGGAGGGCGGAUCUCCGUGCUGCAAAACAAGGAAAGAAAAGCUGGGCAUCCGGGAAAGAAGCAGUCGGUGAAGAUUUUGCGAAGAUCCGAAGGGCAAGAUAGCACGCCGGGAAGAUCGUACCGAAUGGCGCUCGCGAUCGAGAGCAAUCAUGGUGGUCUCAGUCAGUUGUGUAGACAAAGGCCAAGCCCAAGUGGAGGGCAGGAAGAAAGUGCAGUUUCCUGGCUUCCUGGCUUAAUGGACGGGGUGGGUGGUUGAUCCGUGCGGUCUCCUCCAUCUUCUUCUUGACUUGGGGUGGGCGUUUACUUGCCCUUGUCACGCGUGCGUGCGAGCUUCGUCUGAUGUUUACGUUUGCUCUUCUUUUUCCAUUCUCCUGGCUCCACUGGCGCACUAUUAUUGCGGACCAUGGACAGUGACGCUUUUCUGGCUGUCAUCUGAAUUCUCAAGCGGUUCAAGUAACUUGGGGCGCUGGCAAUGGUGAUGCUAAAUACUCCCUCUGUGAACUAAUGCAAGACCAUUUAGAUCACUAAGAUAGUGAUCACGGUCUUAUAUUAGUUUACAGAUGGAGUAGUUUUGUAUUAAUAUUGUUGAAUACAACGGUGAUGUUGAUUAGUUUACAUAGGGAAA